GUGCUAGCUUCCCCAGCACGUGUACUAAAAUUGGAAUGAUACAGAGAAGAUUUGCAUGCACAAGGAUGGCACACAAAUUCGUGAAGCGUUCCAUAUUUUU
ensembl:snRNA U6 U6 spliceosomal RNA